AUUGAACGCUGGCGGCAGGCCUAACACAUGCAAGUCGAGCGGAUGAAGGGAGCUUGCUCCUGGAUUCAGCGGCGGACGGGUGAGUAAUGCCUAGGAAUCUGCCUGGUAGUGGGGGAUAACGUCCGGAAACGGGCGCUAAUACCGCAUACGUCCUGAGGGAGAAAGUGGGGGAUCUUCGGACCUCACGCUAUCAGAUGAGCCUAGGUCGGAUUAGCUAGUUGGUGGGGUAAAGGCCUACCAAGGCGACGAUCCGUAACUGGUCUGAGAGGAUGAUCAGUCACACUGGAACUGAGACACGGUCCAGACUCCUACGGGAGGCAGCAGUGGGGAAUAUUGGACAAUGGGCGAAAGCCUGAUCCAGCCAUGCCGCGUGUGUGAAGAAGGUCUGCGGAUGUAAAGCACUUUAAGUUGGGAGGAAGGGCAGUAAGUUAAAACCUUGCUGUUUUGACGUUACCAACAGAAUAAGCACCGGCUAACUUCGUG
rnacentral:rRNA from 1 species